CCCUAUGGAGCUUAAAUUUAAUACUCAUGUACUACACUAUAACUCUCAAGAGCACAACAUACUUACACCUGAGUACGCAAUUUUGGUUGGGGUGACCUCGGAGCACAAAUCAACCUCCGAGUAUUAUAUACAUAGAUCUACCAGUCAAAGUACACAAACAAUAUAUACAUUGACCCAAACAAUUGAUCAACGGAACAAGUUACCCUAGGGAUAACAGCGCA
rnacentral:rRNA from 1 species